CCUACGGGUGGCAGCAGUAGGGAAUAUUGCACAAUGGGGGAAACCCUGAUGCAGCAACGCCGCGUGGGGGAUGAAGGAAUUAGGAUCGUAAACCUCUAUUGUGAGAGAAGAUAAUCACGGUAUCCCACGAAUAAGCACCGGCUAACUACGUGCCAGCAGCCGCGUGAAUACGUAGGGUGCAGGCGUUACGCGGAAUCACUGGGUGUAAAGAGUGCGCAGGCGGGCUUGUAAGUCAGAUGUGAAAUCCUGUAGCUUAACUACAGAACUGCAUUUGAAACUAGGAGUCUAGAGUGUGGGAGAGGUAGGUGGAAUUCUUGGUGUAGGGGUAAAAUCCGUAGAUAUCAAGAGGAAUACUCAUUGCGAAGGCGACCUACUGGAACAUUACUGACGCUCAUGCUCGAAAGCGUGGGGAGCAAACAGGAUUAGAUACCCUAGUAGUC
rnacentral:rRNA from 1 species